rnacentral:lncRNA from 1 species
CUAAAACAAUGGCGGACGAGAUGGCUACGGUAGCGCAAGAGGAACCUACAGACCGUACAUGUAAGUAUCAGCGGUAAUUAAACAUGGUACUGAUAUUAAAAUGUACUACUAACAUGCCAUUCUCAGAUUAAAGCCAGCGACAUGAGUAUUUGGUGGCGUUAACGAUGUAUAUGAUGUAUACCGACUGUUAGCAUACCUAGCUAGCUAGGUAGCAUUAGAUGCCAUUGGAUCUGCAUGGCAGUUAUGAUAAGCUAGCUGGCUAAUCCACCACCCGGUCCUCUUUGCGAGUCCGGUGAAGGUGCACUUUUAUCGGACACUUUUAGCUUGACGAGCGGGGGCAGGUGGCGGGCUCCAGGCGCUUGUCAGUAAUCGGACAGUGUUAAACAACGGCUGUUCUGUUAAACAAUCGAAAUAGCAAUUUUAAUAAUGGAUAUGCUCAGUUUAAUAACGGGUUAACAUGACAAUGCGAACGUUUGCCCACACGCCGCCCGAUAAUUAAUACCGUUACGAUAGCUAUCGUUACGAGAUGGCUACGGUAGCUAGCUAGGUAGCAUUAGAUGCCAUUGGAUCUGCAUGGCAGUUAUGAUAAGCUAGCUGGCUAAUCCACCACCCGGUCCUCUUUGCCAGUGCGGCGCUUUUAUCGGACACUUUUAGCUUGACGAGCGGGAAAUAAUUGUAGCUUUCAAUCAUUGUUGUGUGUUUUUUUAUUUUUUAAUGUCGUGGUAUUUCACAUGUCUAGGGACAGACGAGGACACGAGGGCCUUAAUCCCGUGGCGGUCGGUGCACAAAUCCCUCUUCACGGGGAAGAGGAACGCCUCCGUGACUGGAUUUGAGGUCUUCAUAAAGGAGAGCGGGCUUGGGAGGUUGGAUCCCAAGCUCGUGAAAAAGAGGUGGGAGAACCUCAUCCACAAAUAUAAGAGACGUUUCCUGGAGGUGCUGGUGCUGGUUCUGGUGCUGGCUGGUCCUCUGCUGCCCUCCCGACAUCUGCAUCUGGCUCCAGCAGGUCACCGUUGGUGAGGCAGAUGUUGUGGAGCACAGUGCAGCAGACAAUGACCUCUGGCACAAACCUCACAUCCACCUCCAGGGCCUUCAAGAAGAUGGACCGCCAUCGCGUCUUCAGUAUCCCAAAGGACCUCUCCACAACACACCUCGCCUUUGACAGGCAGCAGUUGUAGCGUGCUUGGAGGUGGUUGCGGACAGGCUGCCUGAAGGGGGUCAUGAGGCAGAUGGGUUGGGACAGGCAGGGGUAGCCACCAUCCCCAAGGAUACAGUAUCCUGGUGGAGGGUAUGACUGCUCAUAGUGGAUGGGGCUGUUUUUUAGGACCCUGGCAUCAUGCACUGAGCCUGGGUACCCCACACACACAUCUAUAAAUUUGCACUUAUCAUCACAGAUGGCCUGCAGCUGGAUGGAGUGAAAAAGCUUCCUGUUGAAAUAACAGGCAGCAUCCUCCGCUGGGGGCUUUACUCGGAUGUGGCAGCCAUCAAUAGCCCCCACCACUCUGCUGAAGGCUGCUGACCCAGCUAGACGGGCGAAGCGGGCACCUAGGCGUGGGAGUUCCUCUCCUGUAGGAACAACGGUGUACAGGAGCGCAGCGAUCUGCCCACUCAUCCUGUGCACCAGCCGGUGAACGGUUGCCCGGGGCAUGUCGAAGGCCCUGGCCACCACCCGAUAGGAGGUGGCGCUGGCAAGCCAAAAAAUAAAAACAAGACAGGAGAUCUCA